CCUACGGGUGGCAGCAGUGGGGAAUUUUCCGCAAUGGGCGAAAGCCUGACGGAGCAAUACCGCGUGAGGGAGGAAGGCUCUUGGGUUGUAAACCUCAAAACUUAGGGAAGAAAAAAAUGACGGUACCUAAUGUAAGCAUCGGCUAACUCCGUGCCAGCAGCCGCGGUAAUACGGAGGAUGCAAGCGUUAUCCGGAAUCAUUGGGCGUAAAGAGUCCGUAGGUGGCACUUCAAGUCUGCUUUCAAAGACCGAAGCUCAACUUCGGAAAGGGAGUGGAAACUGAAGAGCUAGAGUAUAGUAGGGGUAGAGGGAAUUCCUAGUGUAGCGGUGAAAUGCGUAGAGAUUAGGAAGAACACCAGUGGCGAAGGCGCUCUACUGGGCAUAUACUGACACUGAGGGACGAAAGCUAGGGGAGCGAAAGGGAUUAGAUACCCUGGUAGU
rnacentral:rRNA from 1 species